UCAAAAAAACCUCAAAGAAAUUUCAAACAAACAAUAAAAAUUCUUAAAGAAAUAUUAGAAGGAUCACAAAUAUCACUCAAAUACAUCUCAAUUCAAUCUUAAUUUAAUUCUAGUUAAAAUCCUAUUGAACUUCAUUCAAACUUUAGGCCAAAACUAAUUAAAUUUUAAAUCCUAAUAAAAUCCUAAACCCUAAAUCAAAUCCUAAAUAAACCUUAAAUCAAAUCCGAACCAAAUCCUAAACCAAAUCCUAAACCAAAUCCUGACCAAAUCCUAAACCAAAUCUUAAACCCAAAAUCAAACCGUAACCAAACCCUAAUCCAAAUCCUAAACCCUAAACCAAAUCCUAAUCCAAAUC
rnacentral:lncRNA from 1 species